rnacentral:rRNA from 1 species
GACGAACGCUGGCGGCGUGCCUAAUACAUGCAAGUAGAACGCUGAAGGAGGAGCUUGCUCUUCUGGAUGAGUUGCGAACGGGUGAGUAACGCGUAGGUAACCUGCCUGGUAGCGGGGGAUAACUAUUGGAAACGAUAGCUAAUACCGCAUAAGAGUAGAUGUUGCAUGACAUUUGCUUAAAAGGUGCAAUUGCAUCACUACCAGAUGGACCUGCGUUGUAUUAGCUAGUUGGUGGGGUAACGGCUCACCAAGGCGACGAUACAUAGCCGACCUGAGAGGGUGAUCGGCCACACUGGGACUGAGACACGGCCCAGACUCCUACGGGAGGCAGCAGUAGGGAAUCUUCGGCAAUGGACGGAAGUCUGACCGAGCAACGCCGCGUGAGUGAAGAAGGUUUUCGGAUCGUAAAGCUCUGUUGUAAGAGAAGAACGAGUGUGAGAGUGGAAAGUUCACACUGUGACGGUAUCUUACCAGAAAGGGACGGCUAACUACGUGCCAGCAGCCGCGGUAAUACGUAGGUCCCGAGCGUUGUCCGGAUUUAUUGGGCGUAAAGCGAGCGCAGGCGGUUAGAUAAGUCUGAAGUUAAAGGCUGUGGCUUAACCAUAGUACGCUUUGGGAAACUGUUUUAACUUGAGUGCAAGAGGGGAGAGUGGAAUUCCAUGUGUAGCGGUGAAAUGCGUAGAUAUAUGGGGGGAACACCCGGUGGCGAAAGCGACUCUCUGUCUUGUUACUCACGCUCACGCUCCAAAGCGUGGGGAGAAAAAGAAUUAAUACCCCUUG